GAGCUGCCUGUGAAGGAUGACAAGAAGGAAGAAAGUCUGAAGCCAGGCCUGCUUAGCAGAGGUCUCCGUAUAGUAGGGAUCUCACUCUUUCAAGAUGUAGGAUCUCAACUGGUUAGCCAGCCCUCUGAGUGAAGCUGGUCAGUUGGGGCUGUGACAACAUAGCACACUCAAAGGGGCAGACCCUUCUCAGCUCCAACAGAUUGGUGUCAUUGGAAAAGGUGGACCCAGUGUAGGCAGACUUUCCUAGAGAGUCCAGAAGUGACUGUGCAAGCCCAAAGCAAUCCAAACAAAUAUUUGUGGACCACCAAGAACCUCUGGUAUGAAGUAAAUAAUAAAGGCAUUGAACAAUAAUAACCUGUCUGUAUAUCCACCAAUGGGACCGAUGGGCCACAGUGUGACAUCUAUCCUAUUCAUGUCAUAAGGGAGAUGAAUUCUACUGUGGGACAGUCUGUGUGACUGCUCGUAGGAGAUUAUCCAAUUCCUUUUGCUCUAAUUUCAUGGUCACCAAAUUUCUGCUUGCUAACUUUGUUUUACAACAAACUUUAGAAAGGAGGUGAUCUGAAUAAGAGGAUAUAUGUUUUUCAGUCUCUGGAAAGGGGUAUUUCUUUGUAUUGAGAAGCCAGAACUCUUGAGUGUGUUGAGCCUUGUAGAGAUUGAACCACUCUGGGUCAGCUGACAAAAUAAGAUUCUGGUGCUGAAAAGCUGAGUAUGUGACCAUGAUAUUAACAGUGACCUAAGUUUGUGUGGCCCCCUUCGUUCUCCAGAAACCAACCAGUCAGCCUUCAUUUUGUAAAUGUAGCAGACACCAUUUUGCUAGUGAAUGAGGUUAAAUCUUUAGCCUUGUCAUUGGUUCGGCUUUGUAAUUUAAAACUCUCUUAUUUUACCCUCUGAUUUUAAAUCCCCAGAUUUUCCUUUCUGUGUCCUUUGCCCCCUGAAGUUUCCAUCUGUCUAGCAACUAAGCACUGUUUGGGUAUCUACUGUCUUCCCCAAGUUGCCUUUACUUUUCUUCUUUACCUUUCUCUUGUUUUAUUUAUUUCUUUCUUUUUUUGAAAUGGAGUCUUGCUCUGUCACCCAGGCGGGAAUGCAGUGGCGCAAUCUCGGCUCAUUGCAACCUCCACCUCCCGGGUUCAAGCAGUUCUCCUGCCUCAGCCUAAUGAGUAGCUGGAAUUACAGGUGUGCACCCCCAUACCUGACUAAGUUUUGUAUUUUCAGUAGAGACGGGGUUUCACCAUGUUGGCCGGGCUGGACUUGAACUCCUAACCUCAGGUGAUCCGCCCUCCUUGGCCUCCCAAAGUGCUGGGAUUACAGGCAUGAGCCACCACACACAGCCUCUCUUGUUUUACUUCUGUCAUUACUUUUUGUUCUUUUAAUUUGGAAACCCACCUGCUUCCUCAGUGUCAUUAUUAAAAACCCACAUGUUACAGGUUCAUUAGGACUGAAACAUUCCUUCAGAGCUGAGCUGACCAACAUGUUAGCCACUAGCCACAUGUGACUAUUGCAUACAUGAAAUGCAAAAUGUGGCUGGUCUGAAAUGAUGGUAUAGGUAUGAAAUUCACACAAGAUUUAGAAUACUGAAGAUAAAAAAGAAUGUAAAGUAUCUCAUUAAUACUUUUUUUGGUAUUGAUCACCUAUUGAAAUGGUAAUAUUUGGUUAUACUGGCUUAAGCAAAUGUACAUUAAAAUUAAUUUCAUCUAUUUCUUUUUACUUCUUUAAUACCAGA
rnacentral:lncRNA from 1 species